GAAAGUUUUCUUCUUUUGUGUUGUUUUUGGGUGAGGUGGAUUUGUCUUGCUUCUGUGUUUUUGUUGGCGUCACUCGAGGAUUCCUGUUGAAGUACCAAGUUUCGAGUGCUAACCGACAGUUCUGCACCUCGUAUCCAAUAUCUCUCUCUCCUCUGUGUCUCUCUCUUCUUUUAACGGACUCCACUGAUAGCUUCUUGCACCUGUACUCAACUUGCCACAAUGCCCCCAUUACAUAACCUACUACUGAACCUACUACUGAAACCAGAUUUUCAAGCAACAGGUCAUGAUUAGAUAUACGGAGAAGUGAAACCCAAAAAGAGUUGACCGAGAACACAUCUAAAACUGAUAUGAGGAAGAUGCUGCCAAAUGGAAGAUGCAGAGGAAAUAGUAAAAUCACUAUGGCUGCAACAAGUUAGAAUUUUCUUUUCUUGCUUUAUGUAAAGAAGAGGGUUUCUUGUUGAAGAAAAGCUGACAAGAAAAUGAAGAGAGAAUGGAGGAGGGUAUCAUCACAAGAUCAAGGCAUCAUGGGAAUCUUUGUUUUUGGCUAUAUACCGUUGUUGCUUCUAAUCAUUCCAUCACAAG
rnacentral:misc_RNA from 1 species